GAUCCUGGCUCAGAACGUACGCUGGCGGCACGCCUAACACAUGCAAGUCGAACGAAGUAGCAAUACUUAGUGGCAGACGGGUGAGUAACAUGUGGGUAUCUGCCCUUUGGCCUGGAAUAACACGAGGAAACUUGUGCUAAUACCGGAUAAGUCUUUACGGAGAAAGCUUUAUGCACCAUUGGAUGAGCCCGCACUUGAUUAGUUUGUUGGUGGGGUAAUGGCCUACCAAGACUGUGAUCAAUAGCUGAUUUGAGAGGAUGAUCAGCCACAUUGGGACUGAGACACGGCCCAAACUCCUACGGGAGGCAGCAGUGGGGAAUCUUGCACAAUGGAGGAAACUCUGAUGCAGCGAUGCCGCGUGAGUGAAGAAGGCCCUUGGGUUGUAAAGCUCUUUCGUCGGGGAAGAAAAUGACUGUACCCGAAUAAGAAGGUCCGGCUAACUUCGUGCCAGCAGCCGCGGUAAUACGAAGGGACCUAGCGUAGUUCGGAAUUACUGGGCUUAAAGAGUUCGUAGGUGGUUGAAAAAGUUAGUGGUGAAAUCCCAGAGCUUAACUCUGGAACUGCCAUUAAAACUUUUCAGCUAGAGUAUGAUAGAGGAAAGCAGAAUUUCUAGUGUAGAGGUGAAAUUCGUAGAUAUUAGAAAGAAUACCAAUUGCGAAGGCAGCUUUCUGGAUCAUUACUGACACUGAGGAACGAAAGCAUGGGUAGCGAAGAGGAUUAGAUACCCUCGUAGUCCAUGCCGUAAACGAUGUGUGUUAGACGUUGGAAAUUUAUUUUCAGUGUCGCAGCGAAAGCGAUAAACACACCGCCUGGGGAGUACGACCGCAAGGUUAAAACUCAAAUGAAUUGACGGGGACCCGCACAAGUAGUGGAGCAUGUGGUUUAAUUCGAAGAUACGCGCAGAACCUUACCAACACUUGACAUGUUCGUCGCGACUCUAAGAGAUUAGAGUUUUCGGUUCGGCCGGACGAAACACAGGUGCUGCAUGGCUGUCGUCAGCUCGUGUCGUGAGAUGUUGGGUUAAGUCCCGCAACGAGCGCAACCCUCACUUUUAGUUGCCAUCAUUAAGUUGGGCACUCUGAAAGAACUGCCAGUGAUAAGCUGGAGGAAGGUGGGGAUGACGUCAAGUCCUCAUGGCCCUUACGUGUUGGGCUACACACGUGCUACAAUGGUAUCUACAACAGGAAGCAAGACUGCGAGGUCAAGCAAAUCCUUAAAAGAUACCUCAGUUCGGAUUGCACUCUGCAACUCGAGUGCAUGAAGCUGGAAUUACUAGUAAUCGUGGAUCAGCGUGCCACGGUGAAUGCGUUCCCGGGUCUUGUACACACCGCCCGUCACACCAUGGGAGUUGGUUCUACCUUAAGGCAAGGUUUCAAACCCUUGACCACGGUAUAGUCAGCGACUGGGGUGAAGUCGUAACAAGGUA
rnacentral:rRNA from 1 species